rnacentral:lncRNA from 1 species
UCCAGCACUAGGUAUGGGGUCAUGGAUCUGACAAAUGUGUUAUUUUCAAUCCUCAACAGGAACAAGGAUCAAAUGCAGCUUUCAUUCAUUUGGAAAUAUCAGCAUUUCACAUUUACUCACUUGCACAAUGGCUAUGUUAACUGUUCAGCUCUCUGUUAAUGUCCAAAGGCACUCGGAUUUCUUUGAUAGUCUGAAGAACAUCUCACUAGGUACUCUAUAUUAAUAAAGUGACUGUAAAAAUGGACCAAAUCUCAUUGCAGGAGUGAAGGAUUUAUUUUUUUUUUCAGUGUCUGAAGUGCUGCCAACAAACAACCCUUAGCUCUCAGACCCCUUGUGGAUUGCCCCUGCUAAAUAAAGCCACCAGAGCCUGAUUUAUGCCUCUUCCUGAGGUGGCCUGUUUCCAAUGACAGACCAGUCAUUGGAGUAUGAAGGCCUAACCAGCUCAUCUAAUUUGAGGAAAGUUCUAAAGAAUAAGGUUCUUUUCAGCCCCAGAGUCUCAUGACAUCUCAAACUACACCACAGCUCAUCAUCUUCUGACCAAUCAGCUGUCUUCAUUUCCUAUCUAUGCUAUUGUUCCAAAGAACAUUUCCUAAUAAACCUCCUGCACACUAAUUUCAAUUUCAGAGUCUCCUUCCUCGAGAACUUAACCUGAAAUAUCAUAGUAUUUGAACCCAGUAAAGAAAAAAAUGGCAAAUACUUAAAGUGCCCUGUUAAUGACACAUGCAUGUAAGAGUAUAGAAUACAAACCUUACUGAGACACAAGGUACCGUGAAAUUUUUAGGAUUGCUAUGGUUUUAAUGUGUCCCUCAAUAUUUCAUGUGUUGUAAACUUAAUCUUCAGUGCAACAGUGUUGAGAGGUGGGGCGUUUAAGAAGUAAUUAGAUCAUAAAUUUUCUUCACUCAUAAAUGAAUUAAUGUCAUUAUCAUAGGAGCGGGUUGGUUAUCAUUAAGUAUGGACUCCUGACAAAAGGACAAGUUUGGGCUCCAUUUUCUCUCUGUUUUGUGCAUCUCUUUCUGUCUUCCCAGAUGUGGGCACCAUGCUCUUGGACUUCCCAGGCUCCAGAAUCAUCAACCAAAUAAAUUUCCACUCUUUAUAAAGUAUUCAAUCUGUGAUAUUCUGAUAUAGCAGCAGAAACCAUACUAAAACAGAGGCAAUAUUGUUGAAAACAUGCUAGAACAUUGCUUCCAAAGUAAUGCAAAAGUUACUGUGCUUUGUAUCUUCUACCACUAAGGAAGAGGCAUAGUACUUGUUGAAGCGUUUCAGAUUUCAGAGGCAGAGUGGUUUCCAAAGAAAAAAAAAA